rnacentral:rRNA from 1 species
AGUGAACGCUGGCGGUAGGCCUAACACAUGCAAGUCGAACGGCAGCACAGUAAGAGCUUGCUCUUACGGGUGGCGAGUGGCGGACGGGUGAGGAAUACAUCGGAAUCUACUUUUUCGUGGGGGAUAACGUAGGGAAACUUACGCUAAUACCGCAUACGACCUACGGGUGAAAGCAGGGGAUCUUCGGACCUUGCGCGAUUGAAUGAGCCGAUGUCGGAUUAGCUAGUUGGCGGGGUAAAGGCCCACCAAGGCGACGAUCCGUAGCUGGUCUGAGAGGAUGAUAAGCCACACUGGAGCUGAGACACGGUCCAGACUCUACGGGAGGCAGCAGUGGGGAAUAUUGGACAAUGGGCGCAAGCCUGAUCCAGCCAUACCGCGUGGGUGAAGAAGGCCUUCGGGUUGUAAAGCCCUUUUGGUGGGAAAGAAAAGCAGCAGGUUAAUACCCCGCUGUUCUGACGGUACCCAAAGAAUAAGCACCGGCUAACUUCGUG